rnacentral:misc_RNA from 1 species
CAGAAAUACGUCGGGAGCUACGCCGGUGAAGAAUUUAUUUCAAUUAUCAUGAGCAAGCUCAGUGGUCUCGCUCCGCGCUGCCGCUAGUUGUAGACACAUAUUCUAUCUUCAUUAUCCAUGCGACAGAACGUUUCUCGCUAGUGCCGUGCUCCAAAUAAUGGUUUCCAAUGAAUCAGUGACGUCUCGAUACUCAACCUUGGAUAUUAUGGUUACAAGAAAAGGUGUAUUUUGAAAAUAUAUCUAGUGUUUUCGUGUUGAAAACUCGUUUGUGUAGUAAGUUAACUGUGUUGUUACCGUAGUGGUGUUGUUGAAUCGGUGUUAUGUCGGGUGGACGGAGUUUGGAGAAGGAGCGGAAGUCUCCUCGGGAAAGCGGUGAAGAUUCGGAGGAUGAGAGUGAAAUCUUGGAGGAGAGCCCCUGUGGGAGAUGGCUGAAGCGACGGGAAGAGGUGGAACAGCGAGAUGUCCCCGGCAUCGACUGCGCACACCUCGCCAUGGACACAGAAGAGGGCGUGGAGGUCGUCUGGAACGAGGUUCAGUUCUCCGAGAGGAAGAACUUCAAAGCCCAAGAGGACAAGAUACAGAUGGUCUUCGAUAACCUGACCAGGCUGGAGCAUCCAAAUAUAGUCAAGUUCCAUCGGUACUGGACGGAUACGCACAAUGACAAGCCCAGAGUGAUAUUCAUAACAGAAUACAUGUCAUGCGGCUCUCUCAAACAGUUCCUGAAGAGGACGAAACGGAAUGUCAAACGGCUUCCACUGCAGGCGUGGAAGAGGUGGUGUACACAGAUUUUAUCUGCGCUAAGCUACCUCCACGGCUGCGUGCCCCCCAUAGUCCACGGGAACCUCACCUGCGACACGAUCUUCAUCCAGCACAACGGUCUGGUGAAAAUCGGCUCGGUCGCCCCUGACGCGAUACACCAUCACGUGAAGACCUGUCGGGAGAACAUGAGGAAUAUGCACCUCAUCGCUCCUGAAUAUGCCUCAUCACAAAUGGUGACACCCGCCAUGGACAUAUACUCCUUCGGUAUGUGUGCUUUGGAGACGGCAGCACUAGAGAUUCAGGGCAACGGGGACUCAGGCAGCCACGUCACUGAUGAACAUAUCGCGCGCACUGUUGAGUCUCUUGAGGAGCCGAGGCAGAAGGACUUCAUAUACAGGUGUAUAAACAAGGACCCAGCUCAGAGGCCAACGGCGCGCGAGCUCCUCUUCCACCCGUUACUCUUCGAAGUGCACUCGCUGAAGCUUCUCGCGGCACAUACGCUCGUCAACACCUCAGCAAAUAUAUCGGAAACGAUAACAGAUGAGGUGGUCGGUUCGAACGGCGAAGCGCUCGCUACGUGUAUUCGCGGUGGGGAGUUACAUGAGAUUACAGUUCGAGAUCUACCCCCACACCAGGAGAAACUCGAGAAAUUCGUCGAGGAUGUCAAAUACGGCAUCUACCCGCUGACGGCGUACGGGUACCGCGGCGCCGCGCGCGCGGCGUCCCCGCUGGCGCCCGACCCCGCGCCGGCCGCGUCGCCCGAGCCGCGCGACGUGGAGACGCGGCGCGUCGUCAACAUGAUGUGCUCGCUCAAGCCGCACGCGCCGCCCGACGCCGCCGCCGCGCGCGACCACGACCUGCUGAUGACGAUCCUGCUGCGCAUGGACGACAAGAUGAACCGCCAGCUCACCUGCUGCGUGUCCCGCCGCGACUCCGCGCCCAAGCUCGCCCACGAACUGGUCCAACUCGGGUUCAUACAUGAGUCGGACCGCGACAAGCUGUGCCGGCUCAUGGAGGAAUCCCUGCGCAGCUCUUUCGGUGCGCGCGCGCAGCUUGCCAGCUAGUGCGCACUCUCUCGCCGCCAGACACCACGCCGCUAGUUACAAGGUAGCCUCUAUUACAUGAAACACCGCAGCGCAACGUUACCGAGAGGUGCAAUACAUGUGUCAGUGUGUGUAGCCACUAAUACAGCUACAGGAAACACCGUCCGCAGCUCAACGUUACCGAGAGGUGCAAUACAUGUGUCAGUGUGUGUAGCCACUAAUACAGCUACAGGAAACACCGUCCGCAGCUCAACGUUACCGAGAGGUGCAAUACAUGUGUCAGUGUGUGUAGCCACUAAUACAGCUACAGGAAACACCGUCCGCAGCUCAACGUUACCGAGAGAUGCAAUACAUGUGUCAUAGCACGUUUGUCACCGUUAGGUAACCUCUAAUAUAACAGGAAACACUGUUCGCAGCGCAACGAGCACAUUCUUAACACCAACAGGUGCAAUACGUGUAUCAUAGUGGUUGUCACCGUUAGGUUCACCUACGUUGUUUAUGUAUUUGUCAUCGUUAGGCACUGUUCCCAGCAAAAACGAGUAAGCUAUGUGCUAUCGGCGUUAGAAACAAACAAAAGAUAGUCGCUCACGUGUAGAUAAAAGAAACGAUAUUACAGCGCGAGCGAGUUUAGUUCUUCGCCGAGCGAUGAAUUAUAAAUUGCUCGCUCUCUGUUUUAUUUACACGGGAGCGACUGUAUUUUGUUCAUUUCUGUCGCCGAAAAGUCACCGCUUAGUUGCUUGUGGGACCAGUGCCUUAGGUGCACACACUACAUUGAUUGUGUGUUUGCCACCGUUAGGUGUACAGAACUACCAGUAAUAGAUAAAACUCUUGUUAUGUAUUUGACCGUGCUCUAGUUGAAACUAUGAAGUAGUUUUAUCUUUAGAGCGCGGAAAAGAGAAUCAGAAUCGCAUUAUUUACCAUUUUAGGUAAAUAAAUAACGAAUAUUAAUGCAGAGAGAAAAUAUGCGCUUGGACAUCUACAACGGUGUUAAUUGGCAAUCAUAAUGUAACUUAAAAGUAAUAUCAACGUAUCACAUCUUAAACUGCCUAGAUGAACGAUUUUGAUUAUUUUUGCUUAAGUUGUCACUAGAUCUAGAGAUUGUCGUUGGCAUAUGUCAAAUUGAAGUAUACUUAGAAAGUUGUCGCUGGCAAAAACUUUGGUAAACUGCCACCUGUAUAACAUAUUGUUUUCAAUGGCUACUUAAGAUGUGGUGCCUUUAAAUUUCGAUCUUACGAAUAAUCUGCAAUAAUAACAAAGUCAUUUGUUUACAUACGACCCCUUUAGUUAAAUAAUUUGAAACUAGGCGUGUCUGGUGAAUAAAUAUAUCUUAUAACAUUUGGAUACGUAAACCGAAUGCCUAAUAUAGAAGCGAUAAAUCCUAAGCAAACCUAAAUUCUAUACAGUCGACUUCAUAAAUAUGUGUACAUUUUACCUUAACUAUGCAAUAAGGUGAAAAAAUUUGCUCAUAUUUAUGAAUUCGACUGUACCACUGGUCUAAACCCACGGAAGGAAUGAAUUGUUGGGCUGGUACCAAGGUAGGCUGGUGUUCCUACCAAUGUAUUAUAAACCUUUAGGCAUGGAUAAGGAAUAUUGUAUAGCGUGUUUGUAGAUGUUAUCCGUGGGUGAUCAAGUGAUACUAUUUAGUCAUGAUCCUGUUUCAUAGUUAUAGUCACUUUAGAUUCUCACUUUCAGCCGAUUGUCACUUUGUAGGUGAUUUGAAUAAUUAAUUAGUGAAAAUAUAAAUUAUACUGAGUGAUUCAUGAAUACGCUCCAUAUCUGAACCUGAAAGCAAAAAUACUAUACGUCUACAGAUGUAUUGCGAAAUUUUAUCCUUUGUAUGUUUACGGAAACGUACAAACGUGUCGUGCUAUUUCAGUCAGUCUCAGUACAAGGUGUACUGACAUUGUCUGAAAUAGCAUGACAGAUACGAACGUUUCCGUAAAAAUACGACAGAAAAAAUUUUCGCACUACGUCUGUAAUUACUAAACGUAUUUGCGACCAUAACUCGUCAGGUAAAAAGUUACAGAAAAUCGAUUAAAAUAUUCGUUAAUCAAAUCGGCUUUUACAAAAUAUUCCAUCAUAUAGUGAGUAUAAAUAAAAUACACAAGUACCCAUUUGUAAACUUUAUUAAGGGUCUCCCCAAUCAUAUCGACGCCAAAUCGGCUUUCGGCGACCAAAAAUCGCUAGUUAGUAUGAACAUGCGUACGGCUGCGUUCAGCGAUGACGAUGCAUAAGCGUCUUCAUACUAACGAGCGAUUUUUGGUCGCUUCGAUAUGUUUGGGGAAAACCUAAGUCUACAAAUAGUUACCUUGUCAUAGUUAAAAUGAAACAGUGGUCCAACAUCGCUUUGGAUUGGCGUGUGAAUGUUAUUGUUACAUAGGUUAUCACUAGCUGUUUAAUGUCAGACACCUUUAAGCUUUACGUGGCUCAUAGUUAACUUUCGAAGACAUACUACUCUUAUUUUAGUAUCAUGACAACCGAGUAUGGCACAGUCACCAAAAGCGAGUAAGAUAUGAGCCAUCGGCGGUAGAAACGAACAGAAGAUAGUCGAUCCCGUGUAAAUAAAAGAGAGGCGAUGAUAGCGCGAGCGAGUUAUAAUUCGUCGAGCGAUGAACUAUAAAUCGCUCCCUCUCUCUCUUUUAUUUCCACGGCAGUGACUAUUUUUUCUCGUUUCUAUCUCAGACAACUAAUAGCUUUCUUACUGUUGGUAAGACCAGUGCCUAACAUUGACCAUCUGAUUUGCAUUUGCGUCGACAAAUCAUCAAUAAAUUCUUUGGUUGUCACCGCAAGGUUCACCGUAAAUAAAAAUGGAACGUCUCUGUGACUUGUCUUUGUCAUGACACUAAAAAAGAUUGUAUUAGCUCUGAUCGGUGCUGAAUUGAACAUCUUUAACCCUUUGAUCGCCACAUCGAUCGUGCGUCCGUCUACGUAGUCGGAAUGCGCGAAAAUUGUUAAGUUUUAGCCGCAGGCGUGACGUCUUCGGCGGUAAACGGGUUAAAGUUAUAAAUUCAACUGGUCCGGGAUCGUAUGUCUUCCUAAGUUAACUCUGAGCCUAUAUGCCAUUGGCGCUAAAUAUCCUCUUUAAUACUUCCGAUGCACCUAGGUUAACGAGUUAUGCGGCGGGUUUGCUCAAUCGCAACUUGUUUCUUUCAUUCGAACUCUGAACUAUAAGAGAAAUAUUACGAUCUCUAAAUACAGACUAGUGUUGACAUUUAUCGAUUACGUUCAUCAGUCGAUUUAUUCAUCCGUAAUUCAAUGGAUUGCUUUCAUCAAUUGUUAAUCUUGACAAAUCACAGUAUCGGCUAGUUGGCAUAGUUAAAAUUAAACUAACGCUAUAACUAUUGAUAUUGUUUACCGUCACUUCAUUCGCUAUUUAUCUGUCUUUCAUCAUAUAUAGCGAUUGAAAUUAUGAGUAUGAAUACAGAAAGCUCACUGCUUUGAUCUUCACAAAAUGCCGCCUUUCAUAAUUUUUACCUACAUUAACAACCGGACCGCACGCGAGGACAUUGAAUUCUAUUGCGUUGCGCGAAGAUCAUCACCGUUGAAUGGGCCGCGAAUGCGCGGCCGCCGGCAUGUACUUGUAGGUCGGCGAAAGAGUCGCGGAGUGAGCCGCUCUGAUAAUGGUCAAGCAAGAUUUUAAGUCGAGAUGUUUUUGAGAAUCCUUGUCAGUUUCCAUGUACAAAAUUUAUAUGAUGGUGUUUAUACAUAAAUGCUGAGUAAAAUAAAUUUAGAUCUUUCUCUCCUAUAGAUUGCGUUCGUCUAAAAGAAGCAAUGUGGGGUUGUGUUACUCGUCGUUGUUAAACGUACUCGCUUAGUGUAGUUACGCCGUAUUCAUGUAAUGCCAGUCGACGGGAUUUUACACUGAUGACUGAUUUGUAAUAAUUUAUUUUACAAUGUUCACACCGUCCAUGGCGACCAUAGUAUCCAUUGGAAGUAGAUUAACAAAAAGUUAAAAGCAAACAAUGUUCUAAAAUCUAAAAAGAGCAUUCACAGAUCUAGUAAUCGGUUACAGGUGACAUGUAUUUUAUGUUAUCUCAAAUUGGAAAUGUAAACUUUUGACAACUAAAGUUACCAAAAAAAAUACGCAGUCGCAGUUUAGAACAUCGCUUAAAAAUUCAAUUCAAAAUACGAUUUUUUUAUUAUUGUCUUUGGUUAGCGCGAUUGUUACUCAUGAAUUAAAAUUAUAAAAACGGAUUAUAUCGUGUAUGGUGACUUUUUUUGUAAUUUUACGUUUAAAAACACUUUUUUAACAUUAUAUUGAAGUCAUCAGUGUAAAGUCCGUUCGACUCUUAUAAUAGGGUCUUAUGAAGAGAUUUUGUAUCGCCGAAUUGUGUAUUUUUAAUACGAAUGAAGUCAAGUCUUUGUAUGUAAGUGUUAUAUAGGUAUUCGUAACAUUUGCCGUAAUUUCGAGGGACGCGGGGGUUAAUAGAAAUAUUUCGUAUAAACUGAGUAAAUUAUAUAAAUAAAGUACUUUAUUUCUUUGGUCAAGAUGACUCUUUUUUAUAUUUAAUAGUAAAUAAAUCGUUUUUUUUUUUUCAUUUCUUUCAUAUUUUUUAUCUUUGCUGUUUUCUCUGAAGUGUGGUUUUUAGAAGUUUUUUUGUUGUUAUAUAAUAUCGUUGUUAAUUUUAUAUAUGUUUGCAUAUUCAAGCUGCUAUUAUAAAGUUUCGUACGUAAUAAUAUUUUUUUUAAUUGAAUACUUCAAAAGAUUGAGAUAACAUUAAUACCUACCUAUAUAUUUCCAGUCCUCCGGCCUGAAAGCUUCCAAUUUCAGGCCGCAUUGCUAAACGAAGUUACCGCUUCCCGGCUACUACGAUCAGAAAAUAGUAUACACACCUUGGCCGGUAAAUAAGAAAGCCUUUCUUACUUUACUAAACUAGCUAUUUAAUAUAUAGUAUAGUAUAGUCUGUCGGUAGAUGGCGCUAGACGUCACCCCAAGACGUGUGUACAUAAGGAAAGGCAUGGAAAGAUUUGCGAUGUCCGGCGGCGUGGCUUCCGUA